CGUGCAAUGGUAAAGAACGAUAAAAUAACCGCAAUUCCGCCACAUGACCGAUGUCGGCCGAAAUUUCUCCAGCCGUAGCAAGCAAAGGUAAAUCCUCCCGGUCUAUUGUGGCCAGACCCGCCCCCGGUCUCUCCAGGCAGCCGGGCGUCCACGGAGGGGGUCCAAGAAACCAGUCCAUAGCAACGGUCCGCCAGCGGCUGCUGCUCUCUUCUCCCGUUCUUUUCCCCGAUGGGGAAAGGUGCGCUUCCCCGCCUGCUUGACCCUCGAUGUCGGAAGCUCUCAAAUAAUUGACGUAAAACAUUCGUUGUUGGUUCCGACGGUCUAUUGGGUCGCUCUCCGCUUCCCAGAAUUUGGUUUGCGAGGUUUUGUUUCUCUCCGUCAAUUCUUUUGA
rnacentral:lncRNA from 1 species